rnacentral:misc_RNA from 1 species
UAGCUGGUGUCCGCUUUCAGGGAAAAAAGACAUCUUUUAGCAACAGUGAUGAUGAGGAUUCUGCUACUGAUGAUAUAGAUUCUGCUGGUUUUGAUUCCUUAGCAGAAGAGGAAAGUGACGAUAAUCCAGCAAUGGAAAAUGUUGAUGAAGAAAAAGUUGAUAAUGAGGAUUCUGCUGAUUUUGGUUCCUUAGGAAAACGAAAACAUGACAGCACUCCAGAAAUGAAAAUCACUGAUGAGAAAAAAUUGAAUUUGAAAAAGCUGUGUAAGCAGCUUCUACGUCAGGCACCAGGAGAGUCACUAAAGCUAAAAAAGCUGAAAGUUCUCAUUGAAGAGCAUUCAUCUUAUUUUUUUUCCAAUUUCUCUUCGAGGAGAGAUGCUCUUGCUUACUUGAAACAGAAGCUAGAAGGCAGUUGUAAUUUCUCUUUAGAAGGAAAAAGAGUGAGUCUCAAAUGCAGGAGAGGCAGAUAUUUUGGUUAGGAUUUCAGUUGCCUGCCCUGGUCUGUAUAUUGCAGCUGAGACUGGUUAAUAAUCAGAUUUGCAUGCCAUGCACCCAUUGGAAUUUUUUUUUUCUUUCCCAUAAUCACUAAUCACGA